rnacentral:rRNA from 1 species
UACGUAGGGUGCAAGCGUUGUCCGGAAUUAUUGGGCGUAAAGAGCUCGUAGGCGGUCUGUCGCGUCUGCUGUGGAAACUCGGGGCUUAACCCCGGGCCUGCAGUGGGUACGGGCAGACUAGAGUGCGGUAGGGGAGACUGGAAUUCCUGGUGUAGCGGUGAAAUGCGCAGAUAUCAGGAGGAACACCGGUGGCGAAGGCGGGUCUCUGGGCCGUAACUGACGCUGAGGCACGAAAGCGUGGGGAGCAAACAGG